UACCUUUAAAAUAGAUAUUUAGUCCCAAGCAACUGUAUAUAGUUUUGUGCAUUUUUUGCGACUUUGAAGCCCCUAUAGUUAAGAGAGUGGAAUUUACUUUCGUAAAUUUACAACUGUCGUAAAUACAGUGGAUCGCUGUAAACGCGCAUUUGUUGCUGCCGUAAAGCAUUCCGUCUUUUUCGCGGAAUUUUGUACCCGCUCACCACACAAACAAAACAUAAACCGUUCGUUUUAUUAGAAGUCAGUUUGCUAUCGAUAUGACUUUGAAACCGAAAUUAAAGGCCGGCGUAGGCGAUGAUCUGACGAGCAACUGCGGCAAAGGCUGGGUUGAAUUCGAUAGUAAUGAGUUUGGAGCCAGGGGACAGCAGUCGAGCGAUCCGAACAGUGGAGUAGCCGCAGUAUGUGCCGAGCUCCAGAGCCGUGCUGGGGUUUACCUCCGUCAACACCGAAUCCAGUAUGAGCCCUUCAGAGAGACACACAGAACACAAACCAGAGGAAACUAAUCAAUGAGGUCAUCUCUGCAUAUGUGUGAAGUAUGUAUGAAUGACAGUGAGGGUCACCUGAGGUCGCGAUGAUCCCGUCACGAUGUUAAGGAGCCGCUCAAGGAUGACAUCGUGCCAGAGGAGUGCGAGCCAGCC